CCUACGGGAGGCAGCAGUGGGGAAUAUUGGACAAUGGGCGAAAGCCUGAUCCAGCAAUGCCGCGUGAGUGAUGAAGGCCUUCGGGUCGUAAAGCUCUUUUACCAGGGAUGAUAAUGACAGUACCUGGAGAAUAAGCUCCGGCUAACUCCGUGCCAGCAGCCGCGGUAAUACGGAGGGAGCUAGCGUUGUUCGGAAUUACUGGGCGUAAAGAGUACGUAGGCGGUUAUUCAAGUCAGAGGUGAAAGCCCGGGGCUCAACCCCGGAACUGCCUUUGAAACUAGAUAACUAGAGUCUUGGAGAGGUUAGUGGAAUUCCGAGUGUAGAGGUGAAAUUCGUAGAUAUUCGGAAGAACACCAGUGGCGAAGGCGACUAACUGGACAAGUACUGACGCUGAGGUACGAAAGCGUGGGGAGCAAACAGGAUUAGAUACCCUGGUAGUCCACGCCGUAAACGAUGAUAACUAGUUGUUCGGUCACUUGGUGGCUGAGUGACGCAGCUAACGCAUUAAGUUAUCCGCCUGGGGAGUACGGUCGCAAGAUUAAAACUCAAAGGAAAUUGACGG
rnacentral:rRNA from 1 species